rnacentral:rRNA from 1 species
CCUACGGGGGGCUGCAGUGGGGAAUAUUGGACAAUGGGCGAAAGCCUGAUCCAGCCAUGCCGCGUGUGUGAAGAAGGCCUUCGGGUUGUAAAGCACUUUCAGUGGGGAAGAAAGCCUUGGGGCUAAUACCCUCGAGGAAGGACAUCACCCACAGAAGAAGCACCGGCUAACUCCGUGCCAGCAGCCGCGGUAAUACGGAGGGUGCGAGCGUUAAUCGGAAUUACUGGGCGUAAAGCGCGCGUAGGCGGUCUGAUAAGCCGGUUGUGAAAGCCCCGGGCUCAACCUGGGAACGGCAUCCGGAACUGUCAGGCUAGAGUGCAGGAGAGGAAGGUAGAAUUCCCGGGGUAGCGGUGAAAUGCGUAGAGAUCGGGAGGAAUACCAGUGGCGAAGGCGGCCUUCUGGACUGACACUGACGCUGAGGUGCGAAAGCGUGGGUAGCAAACAGGAUUAGAUACCCUGUAGUC